rnacentral:rRNA from 1 species
ACGGAGGAUGCAAGCGUUAUCCGGAAUUAUUGGGCUUAAAGGGUGCGUAGGCGGCUUUUUAAGUCAGUGGUGAAAUCCUGUCGCUUAACUAUAGAAUUGCCAUUGAUACUGAAGAGCUUGAGUACAAUUGAGGUAAGUGGAAUGUGUAGUGUAGCGGUGAAAUGCGUAGAUAUUACACAGAACACCGAUUGCGAAGGCAGCUUACUGGACUGUUACUGACGCUGAUGCACGAAAGCGUGGGGAGCGAACAG